rfam:Pichia sorbitophila strain CBS 7064 chromosome I complete sequence.
UUAUAAUGAUGAAUACAUUUAUUUGUUGAAUUUCUUCACCUGAACAACCGUGUGGACUUAAACUACAGAGCUUUUUAACACUGAUAUCAA